rnacentral:lncRNA from 1 species
AUGCAUCACAUUUUAAUUACUGAUUAUGAGGGAUGAGCAAUAACUCCUUUUUUUUUUUUGGCACAGUUGUCAGUGUCUCCAGUUCCCAGAGUGAAGAGCAUAUCUAUACUGAAGUGACAGAGGUAAAACCUAAAAUUGGGUGUGUGAGACAUGGCCUUGUUCCCUUGGUGCUGCAGCUGCUUUUCUUCACUCUCUUCUCUGGGGUCCUUGUGACAUUUCUUCUCCAAGGUCAGACAUCCCUGAGUACUUG